UGCUGGGUUGUGCGCUGGGUGGGGCUGCCCUGCGUCGGCCUCCUCCUGCUGAUCCAAGUCCUCAUCCUGCUCUCCACCAAGUGCCCCCGUACAGCAGGGAGAGCAGCAGCAAUGAAGAAUGAUGUGCACCCAAGGCAGAGCCCGGAGACAGAAUAUGCUGCUGUGAGCCACGGCGGCAGAAAUGUUCCUGCAUGACUGAUGUAUUCACAUGUUCAGCCUUAAAAUAAAAACUCUAGGAGCAUGCGUGUACAUGAGGAAGAAACACGUGACACCGAGCAGCUGCCCAGCGUGUGCGCAUGUGAAUGGAGGAGGGGGAGGAAGAGGGGGAGGCUGGCCAUCAGACACAGGAGAUCACGUCUCAGACCAUGAGUUUCAAUGUCAAGGACCAAAAUUAUAUAGAGGAAACAGUAAAGGGGGCGGGACAUGAUUUUUAUUAGGCAACAAGUACAGGCAGCUUUGGGCCAGGAAGUCAGCCUGACACUGCUUUCCGGUGAGGCGGAGCAUGGAGCAUGCAUGCCCCAUGCAGGCUCCCGCUGUCAUGCCCCCCUCCCUCGUUUCCCCGGGCCUGGGUCCUCCACACACCAGGGGCUGAAACGUCUCCCCGCAGACUGCAGUCACCCCGGCCGCGCUGCCUCUCUCUCAGCAGGAAACCUCCCACCUCCUGGCGCCCGAGGUCGGGAUCUCCUGCUCUUGGUCUCUAAAGCGGGGGCAGAGUUCACCCUUGCAGUCGCACUGUGGAGCUGGUCUGGCGCAGAUCAUCCCCGGGCACCAAGAAGCAGCGAACACCACGGAGCAGCAGUCAAGGGAACAAGAGGCAGCAGCUCGGCAGGGACCAGCUGGGGGUUUCCAGGCCCGAUUCCUUUGUGCUCGAGACUUUCCCUGUUUCCCUUCCACGGGGGCUGAAUCCAGGAUCUCCAGCGGCGCUUCUGUCAUGGUUAUAUCCUUAGCAAAUUUCUCCAUCCAGAAGAACACCCUGGGCAGGAUGGUAAUAGACCUCUCCCUAACUAUAGCGCUGAGAAUGUCUUCAUUAAAAUGACCCCUUUUACUUCAUUUAACAGCCUAGAAGAGAAGUCACACCCCUAAAGUCACUGACCAGUUUCAGAAAGUUUGGGAAGUUUUAGCAAUGGGAAACUUGUGCUUUCGAGUUCAUGUUCAAUGGGGGAGCAGGAAAAAGAUUGUCUCACUUGGAAAUGUGGUGGUAAUGUUUGGAAUUUGCUAAAAGAAAAGUCUUCUCUUGCCUCCAAACCAGAAAGCUGCAGAAAUGUUUUUGAACAUUGAAACAAAGUGCAAUGUCUGAGAACUAAUGCUUAAGAACAAAUUUGGAAUACAUUUAAGAUUUAAAAGAGCAAGACAGUGAGAUGUGUAUUAUGUAGAGCUCUAGGGGAAAAGCUGAAGGGGUCAGUGAAUUAUUAUAUUGAGAUAAAGAAACACAAACUUAAGCACAACAGAAACAAGGACCUGUCAGAGACUGAGAGGAAAGGAAGUAAAGAACCCAGCACUCCUGGAGACAUUGAUGUGGGUUCAGGGAGCCCUGCUGAUGGAAGGUAAGUAUGGCUAGGGACAGAAAUUACACAUAAACUGGUUUAAGUGAUCAGAAACUGGUUUAAAACUGUAACAGAACAGAAGCUCAGUGCACAGUUUCAAGAUGGCUUAAACUGGUUUAAGAUAAAUCUGGUUGAAUGUAGCAUCAAACUUAACUGAUUUGGGUCAAACCAGUUUAUGAAACUUCUUUCCCAGACCCAUUCCCGGUUCUAGUUAAAUCACAGUCCUGCAGCAUCCCAGCAUGCUUUGCAGCCCUGAGCUGGGCUGUGCUCUCUACUCCAGAGAACAGGGCUCAGCCUGCCCUUUCUUCCUAGCUGGAGCAGUGAAGACUGGAUGACAAGGUGGGGAGAGAGGAAGGCAAGCCUGGCUGGGGAUGCAGCCCAGUCUACAGGGUCAGGGAGUGGAACUCCCCCCCCCCCGUGCCCACAUAAACCCUGGAUGGGGUCUGGGGCCAGGGAGGAAGUUAAACAGCCCUUUCCCUGCUCAAUCUUACCACUGGUUGCAAAUGUGGACUACAAAUCCCAGAGGCAUGUGGAAGCAGGAAGAGGAAGUGAACACACAGCCAGAGAGCCAUGCUCUGGCAUCACCCUGCACCUGGCCUGACCCACUGCAGUCAUGUGGCUGGAUUUCCUGAAUCAAAAGUGAAUGUCUGUUCACUUCUGUUUCAAUUUAAUCUGUGCAGUUUAGACCAGCCUGCAAAGACUGAAUCAAUUUAGCCUCAGGCUUUGUGACUGUCCGUAUUUAACCUAUCUGUCUCUAUGUGUAUUUUAGAGGAUUGGAUGUAUCUUAAAAAGUUCAA